rnacentral:rRNA from 1 species
AUACGUAGGACGCGAGCGUUAUCCGGAUUCAUUGGGUUUAAAGGGUGCGCAGGCGGCCGUGCAAGUCAGCGGUGAAAGCCCGGGGCCCAACCCCGGAAGUGCCGUUGAUACUGCAUGGCUUGAAUGCGGUCGAGGCGGGCGGAACGGGGCGUGUAGCGGGGAAAUGAGUAGAUAUGCCACAGAACGCCGAUGGCGGAGGCAGCUCGCCAGGCCUGCAUUGACGCUCGGGCACGAAAGCGUGGGGAUCGAACAGGAUUAGAUACCCUGGUAGUCCACGCCGUAAACGAUGGGCGCUCGUCGUCGGCGGCAGACAGUCGGCGGCCAGGCGAAAGCGAUAAGCGCCCCACCUGGGGAGUACGGUCGCAAGGCUGAAACUCAAAUGAAUUGACGGGG